CAACGAUGAAGAAGCUAUCUGGGUUUGGAAAUGAUCUGGACUAGAAUGAAAAGUGUCUGCGAGGUCCUGUCUCUUUAAACCCCCCUUUCAGAGGGUUUCCUGAGUGGCUGUAAACACAAUUGUAACUACAGUAACAGUGGCGUCGGUUUUUGCCGUACCAGUUUGAGUCCGAGUCCGAUAAUGAAAGUUUGGAAGAACAAGCUGAUCGACCUGAACCACCUUCGCAAGCACGACUUCAGCAGGAUGUUUCACAGUGAUUCUUCAAUUCGUCUGCCUUUGGAAGUCCAAACAAAGAGGUUUUGCUUUUGCAGUGAAGAAUACAGCAUCUUCUCUACAUGAUGACAACACUAAAGCAACUCAUCCUUGCCUCUGCUAUAACUACGCUUGUAUUACAUAGUGAUGUAGAUACUUCAUGGAAGAAAUGGCUGGACUACAAUCCAGCCAUUUCUUGUAGUUCUUGAGCAGUGUUGUCUGUGGGAGAGAGUAACUCCCUUUUGCAUGGACUUUGUGCUUUGUAACUUUGCAGACCUUUUACAUGCACAAACAGCUAUAUUACACACUAAAGGAAAGGUAAAAUCCCCAAAAGCAUAAUAGGGCCUCUUUAAAUCUCAUAUAAUACUGUACCUUACAAAUAACCAAAAGCACAAUUUUAAACAAUAGACCUUUUUCACAGACUCUGAUGACAUAUUUUCACCUUAUUUAUCAGCAUAAAUCUAGCAAACUUUUUUUAUAUGAUAGUUUUUUUUUAAAUAUUGAGUGUAAGUUUAGAACAUUAUGCUUUGUGUUAUAUUACCCUGGAAUUAGUUUAAAAAAUGAAUUUCCAUAGCUGCGAGGGGGUUCCUAUUACAGCUGCUGAGAGGGUGAUAGUAAAUUUGGCAUCUUCUCCAAUCUGAUUUUGUUUUGUGUUUUCUUAUGGUAAGUCAUUCAAGUGUAAUAGUGGAUUUUUUCUUUUGCUCUUGGAACAAAUGGGUAAGUGAAAAUAAUGUUUGCUGUGGUCUCCCAUUCACUCCCAUUCACCGCUGUCAAAGUUUACCCUGCAAACGUUUACCGGUGUGAAAAAGGUCUAUAAUGAAAGGAUGCAUUUUAUUUAACUUUAAAAUUUUCUUGGCAUUUUAAAUGGGUUCAAAUAUGCAUUUUUAUUUUAUCAAGAGGUACAUUCAUAGCUACCACUCACCCUCUUUCUACCAACAUUGCUCUGACUGUCACAUGACAAAAAUGGUCAGAGGGGGAAUGCGUUUUGGCCUGGGGCGCAGAACAGAAAAAGGAAGAUGGAAAAUGAAAAACAGUGCAUUAAAAUGAAGAAAACAAUGCCCUUGGAUAAAAAGAGAUUGAGAGGCUUAACUUGUCACUUUAUCACUGAACAUCUUGAAGAAAGGCUUGAAGUUAACAGACAUUUAAAGUUGCCGAGAGGUACAGAUGGCCAGCUAACAUAAAUAUCAAAUCAUUUCAGAGUAUCUUUUUCUGUCAGGAUAUGCAAAAAUUGCCGGAUGUUUGGGAGUGGGCAUUCAAUCGCUUUACAUUUGGAGAGAAAAGCUUGUUAAAAGAGUUGUUAACUGACCCUCUGCCAUGUCCAAACUAUACUUGGGCUCCUCUUACUAACCAUAACUAAUGUUUGCUGCACUUUCCUAUCUUCACCUGUUGUUGUCUCACUGUCAAACAAUGUGAGAAUUCAUUGGAUGCGUUGUGAGUAAAUUACCUUAAAUUAAACAACACCUGGAUCAAUUAUUGACUAAAUCAAAAAAUUGGGCAAAGAAAUGUGUGAUGGACAAACUUCAGAAUCAACACUGCUUUAAGCCAACAUUGAUGUUGCAUACCCCUCAACAAAUUUGUAGUUGCACCCCUGGUCUUAUCUCUUGAUGUGUCAGGAUGCACAAACAAACAGCAAUGUAUUUGUAGUGCCACAGAGUUACAGUGUUUAUACUUUUUUGAGGAAAUAAUCUGACAAAUGGCUUACUUAUAGUUGUCUCUGUAUAUUAAA